UGGGGAAUUUUGGACAAUGGGCGCAAGCCUGAUCCAGCCAUGCCGCGUGCGGGAAGAAGGCCUUCGGGUUGUAAACCGCUUUUGUCAGGGAAGAAAUCUUCUGAGUUAAUACCUCGGGAGGAUGACGGUACCUGAAGAAUAAGCACCGGCUAACUACGUGCCAGCAGCCGCGGUAAUACGUAGGGUGCAAGCGUUAAUCGGAACUACUGGGCGUAAAGCGUGCGCAGGCGGUUUUGUAAGACAGAGGUGAAAUCCCCGGGUCUCAACCUGGGAACUGCCUUUGUGACUGCAAGGCUUGAGUGCGGCAGAGGGGGAUGGAAUUCCGCGUGUAGCAGUGAAAUGCGUAGAUAUGCGGAGGAACACCGAUGGCGAAGGCAAUCCCCUGGGCCUGCACUGACGCUCAUGCACGAAAGCGUGGGGAGCAAACAGGAUUAGAUA
rnacentral:rRNA from 1 species